UUUUAACGGCUGCGGUAUUUUGACCGUGCUAAGGUAGCAUAAUCAAUUGUUUUUUAAUUGAAAACUAGUAUGAACGGUUUAAUUUACUUAAUUAGUUUGUAAUUUUUAAUAGUAAGUUAAAUAUAAAGUAAGAAUUCUUUAAUAAAUUAGGGGACGAUAAGACCCUAAAAGCUUUAUGAUUGGCAUUUAAUUGGUGAUAGCGGUGUUAUUAAUUCACUGGGGCAGUGAGUUUAGGUAUAUUUAAGUAUAAUUAAAAGCUCCUUUAAAUAAAGAUUUCAUGUAUAAGUUACUUUAGGGAUAACAGUGCAAUAUAUUUGGGGAGACCAUAUCUAUAAAUAUGAUUGCAACCUCGAUGUUGAAUUAAAAUA
rnacentral:rRNA from 1 species